CCCCAGUGUCAGGCAGGUCAGGAUGUGGACAAAGCAGUCUCUUUGUUUGAGAGCACAGGAAGGAUAUCUGCCACAGUCAUCAUGGAGGGCUGCAUGUUCAGAAGGCCAUAUUUCCCGACUCGUUUUCUCCCUGCCCUCCUAACUCCACGUGUGGUGGAGAACAUGAUCCUCAGGAGCUUCUGCCAGAGACUUUUGGACGCCUCCGGAAAUAAGCCCACCGAAUAAUACAGAAUUGUCACUACUUGAUUUUCUUUCCAGUCCAUCUGCACAUAGUUGUGUAUAUUAUGUUCUUCUUAGCCUCCACAAGUGUAACUGCAAGUCAGCUUAAAACUGCACUUCUCUCCUUUGAGCUUAAUGUGCUCUGUGACCCAAGACCGAGCCCCUGGGUGUCCCAGUUUGUCAACAUCCUGCUGGGACACAGACAGCUGCUCACUGCCCUCCUGCACCGCAUGUGGGACCUGCUCCACAACAAGGUGUCCAUAUAUAUAUAUAUUUUUUUAUCUGCCUCUCUCUCCAUCUAAUUUUCCCUCUCUCUCGCUCUCGCUCUCUCCAUCUCACUUUCCCUCUCGCUCUCCAUCUUAUUUUCCUGCUCUCUCUCUCUCUUUCUUAUCCCCUUUACUUUUUCUUAUAGCCUCUCAUAGUCUUCUUUUCUCCUUCCCUAUAGGGGGGGGGGGGGUCAUUGAAUUGUGCACCUUCAUGCCUCCCAGGCCCAGUGCCCCCUUGUGCAGCUGUGCCCACCCCUGCUGCCCGGCCCUGUGUCUGUUCCAGAGGCACUGGCCACUGCCUUGCCCUGCCCUGCCCAAAACCAACAUGCUCUUCUGUGUUAGAUUCUGCGUGGCUGCAGGUUUACUAUGGGCUCUGUAG
rnacentral:lncRNA from 1 species